ensembl:lncRNA
AUUCGGACGUGGAAAGCCUUCCUCGUACAGAGUACCUCAUGAGAAUAAGAUGCUGAAGAAUCAAGGUCUCUUGACCUGUGCCCUUGACUCCAAAGAAGUAGCCCUUCAACUCAGCUCAGAGUACCUGGCAGGGCCACCCUCUUGAGAGCAGAGGCCUCAGAUCCUGUUCCGUUCGGCCCCUCAGAGGCUAGGAGACCUUGGCAAAGUCACUUUUCCUCUCUGGGCCGCUUUUCUUCUCUCCUGCUCUGAGAACUCCCUCCUCCCAGCGUGUGCUCAGUCGUGUCCGACUCUUUGUGAUCCCUUGGACUGUGGCCCACCAGGGUCUUCUAUCCAUGAGAUUUCCCAGGCAAGAAUACUGGAGUGGGUUGCCAUUUUCUCCUUCAGGAGUUCUUCCCAACCCAGGGAUCAAACCCACAUCUCUUGUGUCUCCUGCAUUGGCUAGCAAAUUCUUUACCACUGAGCCACCUGGGAAGCCCCCUUCUCUCCCAGGGUUUGUGCCAAUUGGCAGGUGUGAAUAUUCAUUGGAAGGACUGACGCUGAAGCUGAAGCUCCAAUACUUUGGCCACGUAAUGCAAAGAACUGACUCAUUGGAAAAGACCCUGAUGCUGGGAAAGAUUGAAGACAGGAGGAGAAGGGGACGACAGAGGAUGAGAUGGUUGGAUGGCAUCACCGACUCAGUGGACAUGAGUUUGAGAGCACCACUGGUGUCCUCUGGAGCCCCCACACCACGCUGUUCGUAAUGACGACUACUGCAUUGGCACGUCUCGUUGGGGUUCAACUUCUGUCCCUGCAGCUCCUGAGCUGCGUGACAUGGGCAGGGGACAUCAACUUUCUGAGCCCGAGUUGCCUCUUCUGGAAAGCGGGAGUCAUGCCGUCUUGCUCGCAGGGUGGUGGUCCCAGGGCUUGUGGCUGUGCCCUGCCCCUCUUGGGAACAGCGGGGGCCCAGGAACCUCUCUGCAGCACGGCUACCACCCAACCUCACCCGGCCACGAGCGAGGAUCCAGGAGAGGACGCGGGCCCUGGCAGAGCUGAUCAGUAUCCUUCGCUCUUAACUGGUGGAUGUGCUAGAAGGGGAGGUGACGGCUGCAGGCAGCCCCUCGCGUGGUAAAGAGAAUGAAGACAGCACAUUCAGAGAUGUCAGGGGAGGGGAGAGAGAAGGGUGUCUGAGUGUCGCCUCCCUGCUCCCAGGAGGCCCUUGUGUCUGCUUCCUGCCUGUCUUAUCUGGAUUUAUUUUUGUCAUCCACUAACUCCUCCAUUUUACUUCUGUUCAUUCAUUUGAAUUCUGUUUCUUUUUUCUUUUCUUUCCCCCUUUUUUUGCAAGUAAAAGAG